AAAAAAAAAAAAAAAAGAAAAAAAGAAGAGACUGGGCAGUGAUGGUGCUGGCUUUUAAUCCCAUCACUCGGGAGGCAGAGGCAGGUGGAUCUCUGUGUUGGAAGCCAGCCUGGUCUACAGAGUGAGUUCCAAAGCUGCAGAGAAACCCUGUUCCGAAAAACAAACAAACAAAGAAAACAGGAAAAAAAAAAAAAAAAGCAAGAGAAUAAAACAAGAUGUGUUAUACUUAAGGAACGGCACCUGAGGGUAGCCUCCACGUGAACAGGUAUACACACGCAAAAGGAAGAAGAACUCCAUUUUGGGUCAAACCUUACAGUCUUGGGGCCUUCGACUGCUGACUGCUGGCAUUCCAGGGAGAAGCUCUGUUUCUGUUCAGUAGGGUUCUGGGUAGAAGGGCAAGGGCUAAGGCUGGGAAGCAGGCACACAGUUGAACUGGACGAAGCAAGAGAGCAUGGAGCUGUGGAAAGCUGCUUACAGCAACACUAAGAUACUAUGAGGAAAGAUGUUACCUGUGUGGGCCAGUUCAGCCGUGACCUAUUCACCUGCCUGUGACCCCAGUGUGGGAAUGUUGCAAAUCUCAACUCCAUCCAGCACCUGGAAUUUAGAGGCCUCCUCUUUGCCCUUAGCAUGCAAAAAUUUCCUUCUUACCCUGUCCUGUAUUCACUCAUGGGCUCCACCAGUAAGCACAGUGUCUUUGGGUUACAGGGGCCAAGUAUGGAAACAAAUCCACACCAACAGGAGGGGUGUUUGCAGACUCUGCAGGGAUGGUAACCACCCAGAACAGACAAGAUGUUGACUGCCAGAGGCUUUGCAGAGUUAAUGCAGCUUGCUACAGGAUAAAGAAUAUGUGGCGGUGUCUCCAGUACCUCCGCCUGCCAAGGCUGGUCCCUGUGCCCUAAGCAUCGCACAGCCCACUAAUAUCUGAAGCAGUAGCUCCCACUCCAUCUCACUGGUAUCUUUGGUUCAUGAGGAGAAAGCAGACAUAAAGUUCUCUUUAAUAAAUGAUCCGGGGCUGGAGGGAUGGCUCAGAGGUUAACAGCACUGGCUGCUCUUCCAGAGGUCCUGAGUUCAAUUCCCAGCAACCACAUGGUGGCUCAAAACCAUCCGUAAUGAGAUCUGGUGCCCUCUUCUGGCCUGCAGGCAGACAUGCAGACAGAACAAUAUAUACAAAAUAAAUCUUUAAAAAAUAAAACAAAUGAUCUGUUACUUGGGCGUUGGUGGCGCACGCCUUUAAUCCCAGUGCUCGGGAGGCAGAGGCAGGUGAAUCUCUGUGAGUUCGAGACCAACCUGGUCUAUAGAGUGAGUUCCAGGACAGCCUUCAAAGCCACAGAGAAACCCUGGAGGGAAAAGAAAAAAGAAUCUGGGCGUUGGUGGCGCACGCCUUUAAUCCCAGCACUCAGGAGGCAGAGGCAGGUGGAUCUCUGUGAGUUUGAGGCCAGCCUGGUCUCCAGAGCGAGUGCCAGGAUAGGCUCCAAAGCUACACAGAGAAACCCUGUCUCGAAAAACAAAAAGA
rnacentral:lncRNA from 1 species